AGUACUCAUCGAUGCUUGGUAUUUAUGCUCAGGAUCAUGAGUAUGUGGUUAGUAAUCUAGCCGUGAGUAGGCUUCCAGCUCGCUGAUUGGUUGAGCCGAUGUGGCACAGCCGCGCACGUUUCGCGCGCGUCUGCCAUUAUUUCAGUUGAAUUCCGUUGCUUGGUGGUGAAGGUGCGUCGCUCGCGUGUGCAGCAUUUUAUGGACUUGGUGUGCAGAAACUGAAACUCGGAUUCCGAGGCCAAUAUUUCUUUUCGAUAUACCAUCGCACUGCUGCCGGGGCUGGUGCCGGUACAGACGCUCGCCCCGAUCGACGCCGGAUGCUCGCCGCCGGGUGGCUUCAGAAUGUGAAGUCUGCCUGCUCCUGUUCGAUAGGUAAAGUUUCGGAGACACUGGUGCGUCUUCUGGAAACUGCAGUCUCAAGGAUGGCGACGGUGGAAGUGCGCCCAUGGUUUUCCAGUCCCUCGCGCUACUGAGCCAAAAUACCAGCACCCUUCGAGCUGCAGUGCGCCGAUCUCGCGGUAGGAGGUGGUUAAAAAACUAUGCGAUCUUGCGCAGUGUUUGCGAUCUAUGGGAGUGUUUCAUCGUUUUUUUUACGGACUUCUUUUAGUGUUGUGUUUAACGGAUUACGCCCCGUACCCAGCUCUUGAAUUGCAUGUUGGCAGAGAUGUCGUAUGAUGGGUUUUUGUAAUAAACUUCAGUGUUUUUCCUCGUGUUUGUCACGUCUGCAAGGCGUAAGGUUAACGAACGCAUUUUUGGUUUCAUGCGUUGGCAUCCGCGUUAGUAACACCCAUCUUAAAUGGGUUAGUAUUAUCAUUAUUCAGAGUUGGUUAUCGUUAGUAUUAGCCUGAGUAAGCGUGUGGUCCGCCUUGGUAAUACUGUGGGUAGCGUCUGAGUAG
rnacentral:lncRNA from 1 species